rnacentral:rRNA from 1 species
GGCCUACCAUGGUGGUAACGGGUAACGGGGUGUUAGGGCACGACACCGGAGAGGGAGCCUGAGAAACGGCUACCACAUCCAAGAAUGGCAGCAGGCGCGCAAAUUACCCAAUCCCGACACGGGGAGGUAGUGACAAUAAAUAACAAUACGGGGUUCUUUAGGAUCUCGUAAUUGGAAUGAGUACAAUUUAAAUCUCUUAACGAGGAACAAUUGGAGGGCAAGUCUGGUGCCAGCAGCCGCGGUAAUUCCAGCUCCAAUAGCGUAUAUUAAAGUUGUUGCAGUUAAAAAGCUCGUAGUUGAAUUUCGGGGUUAGUAAGUUGGUCAUGCCUUCGGUAUGUACUGGCUUUACUGAUUCCUCCUUCUUGACGAACCGUGAUGUCAUUAAUUUGGUGUUGCGGGAAAUCAGGACUGUUACUUUGAAAAAAUUAGAGUGUUUAAAGCAGGCUAACGCUUGAAUACAUUAGCAUGGAAUAAUGAAAUAGGACGUUAAUCCUAUUUUGUUGGUUUCUAGGAUCGACGUAAUGAUUAAUAGGGAUAGUUGGGGGCAUUAGUAUUCAAUUGUCAGAGGUGAAAUUCUUGGAUUUAUUGAAGACUAACUACUGCGAAAGCAUUUGCCAAGGAUGUUUUCAUUAAUCAAGAACGAAAGUUAGGGGAUCGAAGACGAUCAGAUACCGUCGUAGUCUUAACCAUAAACUAUGCCGACUAGGGAUCGGAUGAUGUUAUUUUUAAUGACUCAUUCGCGCCUUACG